GCUGCCAGGGAGGAGCACUUCCUGACAGUCCUUGAGAAAUUACUAAACAAAUGAUAAAAAAAACCUCAUUAUCUGCUCUGUCUGUCUGUUAUUUGUAUGACUCUAGAUCUUUAGUCAAUCACACAUAAAUGUUCACACACAUGGCGAGGCAAAUUUAUUUGUAUAGCACAUUUCAACAACAAGAGUGCUUUACAUAAAACAUUAAAAGCAUUAAGACAAAGUGCAAAAAAACACAUUAAAAAAAGGCAUUUAAAUACUUCUGCUCCAUAGAUGGUGCCUUGAGGUAGUGGUUCUGGUUGGUCCCCUGCUGUUCCCUCCACAUCAACAUCUUCUGGCUCCGACUGGUCCCCAUUGCUGAGACAGAUGUUGCGCAGAACUGUGCAGCAGGCUAUGACCUCCAGGACAUAGAGGACGUCCAACUCCAGCGCCUUCAAGAAAAUAGACCUUCACCUGGUCUUCAGGAUGCCAAAAGGUCUCUCCACAGCACAUCUCGCUUUAGACAGUGAUUGAGCUGCAGCUUUAAGGCUUUCACCUUCCUGCUGUUUGGGAAGCUGCACCUCCACUCUGGUACUUGUAGGCCACUGUGCAUCAUGGUACCUGGCCUCCGCUCCCUGGCACAAGUGCUGUUUUGUCUCUACGCCUCUACUUUGCAGUCAUUGUUUGUAUAUCUAAUGAUUUGUCUUAUUUUGUUUUCAAAGUGAUGAAACUUCCUAAGAAUUUUCUUGGAGUGAGAGACUCCUGGGGUGGCUUUGUUGACACCAUAGACUGUAUAAAAAUAUGGAUGUAGUUACCAUGAUGUCA